rnacentral:rRNA from 1 species
CAGUUCGGAUUGUAGUCUGCAACUCGACUGCAUGAAGUCGGAAUCGCUAGUAAUCGCAGAUCAGCAAAGCUGCGGUGAAUACGUUCCCGGGCCUUGUACACACCGCCCGUCACACCACGGGAGUCGGUCGCGCCUGAAGCCGGUGGCCUAUCCUAGUAAUGGGGACGCCGUCUAUGGCGUAGAUUCGGUAACGUGGGGUGAAGUCGUAACAAGGUACC